GAUGAGUUACCAUUUAGUGAGCUACAGGGUGGAGAAGGUUCUUUUCUGGUUUGGGGGAUGAUCAGAGUACAGUCUUGGGCGUGUUGGGUUUGAGCUGCUUAUCGUGCAUCCCCAGCAGAGCAGUGGAGCCAGCAAGGUCUGGCGUACAGGGAGAGGUCCAGGCUGAGGACUUGGCUCCAGUUGUCCCACAGUCAUGGCAGAACAGGAGCAUGGGGAUUGCCAAGGAAACAGGUCCGGCCAUGCAGCAGACUCCCAAGAGGUCCAGGGACCUCAGGAUAAGGAUCUUGGCCUCUGAAACUACACCUUGACCCAGAUGCAGAAGCCGGGGACCAAAGAGUAUAAAUAACCUACUCAAGACGGUACACAGAAGGGCCAGGAUUUGAACUCAAGAAGUCUGGUUGGGCUGGGAGGAAGCAGGGAUGCUAAUGGUUAAGGGACUUGACUGUUCAAAGAAAGGAUUUAGAUCAGCAGUUGGCAAACUUUUCCCGUGAGGAUCCCACAGUAAAUUAUUUUCAACUUUGCAGGCCAAGAGGACAAAUGGAAGAAAUCAUAGGCACUUAAAAUAACAAAAGAAAAAAACAAAUUUGCACCAAUUUUUUUUUUAGAUUUUUUUUUAAUUUUUAUUUAUUUAUGAUAGUCACAGAGAGAGAGAGAGAGGCAGAGACACAG